CUAAUGUCAGGAGACAAAAGCAGAAAUACAGCCUUGGAGAUGGAAGUCAGCAAGAAAACCAGCAAGAAACCACAGAGUCAAACCAGCAUUCAAAGAUAAAAAUGUCAUGCUUAAGAGCAAAGGGAAAGAAGAAAGUAGAGGGCCCACUCAGGAUCACAGAGCUGAAGAUAAACACUAAAGCCAGAGAAGAAAAAGGGCUUUUUCAUAUAUCCAGUUGAAAGAGUUCAUGGUUCUCUGAUACUGAAUCCAAACAUACAUUGAAAUACAGAAUGUGGCAGAUCAUGUGGGGAGAAUUACAAUUCCUAGGAAGUCAUGAGAAAAUUGUCAUGUUGAUUUAAGCAAGUGUAUUUUCUGUCAGGGUAAAAAUGAUAAAAAAAUUACUACAACGUCAAAUGGAUGAAAACGAAUCAUGGAAGCAUCAGAGAUUAGGAAUGAUAUUGUCAUAAAAAGACUGAGAUAAGUGUAGACUGAUACAGGCAGUCCUUGACUUACAACAUUUUGAGUUACAACAUUUCACACUUACAACAUUUAUAAAUUGACAACUUGUUUCAACUUUCUGAUGUCAGUUUCGACUUUACAACACUUGAGCUGAUGCCACGCUAUACCAGUGGACAAGUCUUCUGCACCACCCAUUUCUCUGGAGAACAUCUGUACAAACUUCCUUGGACACUUUCUUUAAGAAAGCCAGCAAGACUUCAGAAAAACCUGAAGCCAAGACUCUUGAGAAGACUCCAGCCAAGAGCCCUUGAAAAAGUCCAGCAAAGUCACCUCAAAGAAGCCCUUCUAAAUUAAUAUGAUACCUAUUUACAAUAUAAAUACAUGAAUGUAGCUAUGUUACUCAUCAGUAAUUGAUUGAGUACAAAAUUCUGGGUUAUUUUUGGUGAAAAUAGGGUCUUGGGUCUUGGUUUAGGAACCAAUCUCCCAUUUAUAACAUUGCUUCCUUUGGGAAAAUCAGUUCUGAAUUGCAACGUUUUGACUUAAGGCACAAUUUUCAGGAACCAAUUGUGUCGUAAGUCAGAGACUGCCUGUACUGAAUUUGUGUACCAUGUAAAUAACCAGUGUUGUAAGAAACAAACAUUGAAAAAUAGUCUAGUGAAGGCCAUCCAUAACAUAAUGAGAAAUAAGUUCUGCAUCUGUGAAACAAAAAGGGCUUCCAAAUUUCUGGCAGCUGCUCUUUAUCUGCAGGAUGAUGGCUUCUCUUGAGCUUCAGAUCUAGAAGCAGAAUCCCAAGUGUUUGAAGCAGAUGUAUUUUAUUACAAAGUAUGCCUGGAAAUGUAUCUUUGAAGAAAUAUGACAACACUCUUAAGCAGUCUGUUACCCAAAAAAACCCCUCUCUUAAGGAUCAGCUUUUGAGAAAGCAAAUUAAAUUGUGGUGCCUAUGUUGAUAGAUGGUUAUGGUUUCAAACUUCUGAAGUCAGAGAUCUAGUAAAUGAUUUGGCGGGUGGUGACAUAAUAAGGAAUAAUGAAGUGAAAGUGUGUUUACAAAAGUACCAUGGAAAUGGUAUGUGUUUGAGUUAUUCAGAUUGCAAAAUGGCUCCAACCUUCCCUAUACCAUGUUCCAUGCCUUGCAGAUAGCAUCCAUGGCCUAACACCUGGCCUCUAUGCCCGGUCCUUGACAUUGUGACCCACACUCCAGAGUCUCACAUGGGACUCUCACUCCCAACUGGAGCUUGCAGUCACUGUGCCCUCACACUAGGAUUUCCUUUAAUCCAUUAGGGCUCCCAGCCCCUACCUACGUAAGACUCUGUGCCCUUGCCAACUCAGGGCUCCAACCCCAGCUCUGCAUUCUCUCAGUCCCCCCAUGCCCCUAUACUGGGGCCCUCAUCCCCUGCCCUACAGCUUCCCCCCACUUCUUUCUCUCUUCAAAAUGAACAUCUCAGAAGAUACUUCUUUGUGACACAUGAAUGCUUUAUCCUGCAUGAUGCCUAUAGAAGCAUGUAAAAUCUGAAAGGUUUUGGGUGGUAUGAAGACCCAAGUGGAGCCCUUUUUCUGGACAAAUGUCUCCAUUCUGUUCCUGAUGAAUUACUGCUGACAUAUAACUGUGCAACAUGCAAAACUGCAAGAUGCAAGUGCCAAAAAAUACAUUUGUUGUACUGAAUACUGCAAAUGUAGUGAAAACUGUAUAAGGAAAACCAAGUAGUCUAAUGGAUGAUGUCUUGGAUCACCUCAAAACAUUAAAAGAAAAAAUAUUUCAA